GAUGAAGAACGCAGCGAAAUGCGAUACGUAGUGUGAAUUGCAGAAUUCAGUGAAUCAUCGAAUCUUUGAACGCACAUUGCGCCCUUUGGUAUUCCAAAGGGCAUGCCUGUUCGAGCGUCAUUUGUACCUUCAAGCUUUGCUUGGUGUUGGGCGUUUUUUGUCUCCCUCUUUCUGGGAGACUCGCCUUAAAACGAUUGGCAGCCGGCCUACUGGUUUCGGAGCGCAGCACAUAUUUUGCGCUUUGUAUCAGGAGAAAAGGACGGUAAUCCAUCAAGACUCUACAUUUUUAACUUUUGACCUCGGAUCAGGUAGGGAUACCCGCUGAACUUAAGCAUAUCAAUAAGCGGAGGA
rnacentral:misc_RNA from 1 species